rnacentral:rRNA from 1 species
UACGAGGGGGGCAAGCGUUGUUCGGAUUCAUUGGGCGUAAAGGGUGCGUAGGCGGUCGUGCAAGUCGGAUGUGAAAUCUCAGGGCUCAACCCUGAAACUGCAUUCGAUACUGCGUGGCUAGAGUGCUGGAGAGGAGACUGGAAUUUACGGUGUAGCAGUGAAAUGCGUAGAUAUCGUAAGGAAGACCAGUGGCGAAGGCGAGUCUCUGGACAGCAACUGACGCUGAGGCACGAAGGCCAGGGGAGCAAACGGG